AAAGGCAUAAUACUAUGAGAAGAAGAGAUAAAAAUAACAAAGUAUUGCUACAGAGUGCUGCACAAGAAUUUACUCGUUUCCAGCAGGCAAAAAAUCACCCCCUUUCAAAAAAAAAAAAAGAGAGGGAAUGAACAGGCUGUGCAAUGACACUGAAAUUAUUAUACGGUAUCUUAAUGCAGUGCAUCAUUUUGAAUUAUAUAACCGCAAUAGAAUUGAAUAAGUUUCUAAUAACUAGCAUGUCCCUUGAAUCCUACAGUGUUUUUCUCAUCCAUUUAGUUUAGGUAGUUCCUUCAAUGUCUGAAGGUUACUAGGAAACCUAGGUUUCAGCAUGAACAUAAAGUACUACAAGUCAUGCAAGUGUGCGAGUCCAAAAACUCCCAAUCAAAGCAGCCAAUCUAAACAGUUCCGUAUUAUGAGUGAUCAAUAUAUAAUAUUCCAGUAAUAUAAUCUAUAUAAGAACUGUCAGUUAAGUGGCUCUUUCCAGCAUCUAAUGCAAAAAAAGGUGGCAAAAGGCCUGAGAUCUACAUUUACAGUAAUUAGAAUCCUGAAAAAAUGCUCAAUCAGAGGAGAUGGAAUUCAUUCAACAGCUCUAAUUGGAAAGCAUUUUCAGUUCACCCAAAUCCUAUGCAAUUACCGUCUUGCAGCAUUAGCAUCUUAUUUUAAAAUGAGCUCAACCUAAAACAUAAAAUACCUUAGAAAAAAACAAAAAAACUACAUAUUAUCAGCAAAAAAUUCUGUGGGACCUUUGAUAAACAAUGUGAGUAAUCACUGAACAAUCUCAGGUGCAAUUUAUACAAUACCUAGAUAUAUUAAAAAUGAAAGAAAAGAAGAGAU